GGAUGGAAUUUGAAAUGACUGAGCGGCGGACGGGUGAGUAACGCGUGGGUAACCUGCCUCAUACAGGGGGAUAACAGUUAGAAAUGACUGCUAAUACCGCAUAAGCACACAGUACCGCAUGGUACAGUGUGAAAAACUCCGGUGGUAUGAGAUGGACCCGCGUCUGAUUAGCUUGUUGGCGGGGUAACGGCCCACCAAGGCGACGAUCAGUAGCCGACCUGAGAGGGUGACCGGCCACAUUGGGACUGAGACACGGCCCAAACUCCUACGGGAGGCAGCAGUGGGGAAUAUUGCACAAUGGGGGAAACCCUGAUGCAGCAACGCCGCGUGAGUGAAGAAGUAUUUCGGUAUGUAAAGCUCUAUCAGCAGGGAAGAAAGUGACGGUACCUGACUAAGAAGCCCCGGCUAACUACGUGCCAGCAGCCGCGGUAAUACGUAGGGGGCAAGCGUUAUCCGGAUUUACUGGGUGUAAAGGGAGCGUAGACGGCACAGCAAGUCUGAAGUGAAAUCCCCGGGCUCAACCCGGGAACUGCUUUGGAAACUGUUGGGCUGGAGUGUUGGAGAGGCAAGCGGAAUUCCUAGUGUAGCGGUGAAAUGCGUAGAUAUUAGGAGGAACACCAGUGGCGAAGGCGGCUUGCUGGACAAUAACUGACGUUGAGGCUCGAAAGCGUGGGGAGCAAACAGGAUUAGAUACCCUGGUAGUCCACGCCGUAAACGAUGCAUACUAGGUGUCGGGGAGCAAAGCUCUUUCGGUGCCGCCGCAAACGCAGUAAGUAUGCC
rnacentral:rRNA from 1 species